UUAAGUUCAGCGGGUAUCCCUACCUGAUCCGAGGUCAACCUGUAAAAAUUAGGGGGGGUUCUGGCGAGCCACCGGGGGGAACUCUAUAGCGGGAGUAUGUACUACGCUUAGAGCCUACCGGCGCCGCCACUGCUUUUGAGGGCCGCGAAACCGCGUGCCCCAACACCACGCCAGGCGUGAGUGGUUAAAUGACGCUCGAA
rnacentral:misc_RNA from 1 species